GUGAUUCCCCAAAAGUUGGUGCAGAAACUCUUAAUUCUGUCUCCCAGUUCAGCAGAAGAUCUGGCCGAAAAAUGGGCAUUUUCUCUUCGAAAAUGACAACACACAAGAAAAAUGAAACAAAUGUACAAACACUGGGCUUUAUUUCCUGGCACACUUCUCUCAGGACAUUUGCAUUUCGGUUACCAUUCUGAAAGGCAAAAAAGGCUAGCCUAAAAUUACAAAAUGAAAUAUUUUUAUUUUUCGAAAGUGCGGCUGUAGUACCUCCCAUGAGUUUAGUUUAGGUGUCUCCAUCUCCCUGGCCUAAAGGAGACAGCCAAGAUGCUAAAAAUAAAGGCAGUCUAAACUGACCAUACAAGAGUCUCUGCUUCCACUGGAAAAUCUGGGAUUCAACAAAUUAGCUAUGCUUCAAAACCAGGGAUAUGUAGCCCUGGGCUGAGGUGAUGGGUAGUUAACCAGCUGGGCACGAACUCCAGCUGCAGGUUGAAAAGAGUCAACACCAUUCCCAGAUGUGCAAGCGGGAACCUGGCAUUGGGACAAAUGCUGAAGUUCUCCCUUUUUGCUCUUUUCUGGAAAGACUGCUAAAAGGUUAGUGUUGGAAAGCGAGCUAGCCAGCUGGCUGCUAAAAGCUGUCAGGUCCAGGGAGGCUGCAGAAGCGCCGGGCAAGGCUGUUCCCUGGGACGAUGUUGCUUGUUCUUGCUGCAGUAAGUGCCAGAAAGCUGUGUACCUGAAACCCUCCAGCACGGGAGCCUGGGUUUCCAUUUUGAGCUCAUUUCAUCACUUGUCCGGAAGCCAGGUAAUUCUUACCUGGCGGCUCCGAGGGAGCAGGCUGGCACAGGGCUCACUCCUACCAGUUUUCCAGGAAGGUGACGGGAGGAGCCUCCCUCCAGUGUCUCCCAAGGGCGGGAGGCUGGGGGAUGAUCACUGGUGCCAGGAUUGCUCUACCCCAAAUUUUCUGUCUCUGAAAUUUGGUCGCUUUGGAAAUUUGUCGUGGCUUCUGCGUGGCAAGGUUCCUGCGUGGCAUGGAGGAAAGCAGAAGUUCUGGAACGUUGAUGCUAUUCCUCAUGGGUAAUUUCAUGCAUGAUAUGUUUUUUAAAACUUCUAGGUGGCUAACUUCCCACUACAGCUUUAAACCAGUAAAAGAAAUAAUCUUUACUCUCCUGCUCUGUUCCCUCCAAUCCCCUUUCCAACCAGUACUGUUC
rnacentral:lncRNA from 1 species